CCUUCUAGAUAAACAUAAGAUAAUCACUAUAAUAAUAUUGUUGUUAUUGUUAAUCAUGCUAUUUAACAUCCUUUUGACUUGCAUUAAUCUCACUAUUUCCCUGUUAUUUGUUGACCAAGGUUCGGGAUCAUGCAAGGAAACUCAUAGAGAAAUACGUACAGAGACCGUUCUUUGGAUAUGGAAGCAAUGUAGAAAGAACGAGUGUUCGGGAACUAGAGGAAGGGAAGAAAUGGUUGAGUGACACAUUUUAUCUCAUAAGGUGCGAGAAUGAUUCUCUUCCAAGUAUCGAGUGGGUUCU